rnacentral:snRNA from 1 species
GUGCUUGCUUCGUACCACAUAUGCUAAAAUACCAGGUAAAAGAGAAGAUCAGUAAGGCCCCAGCACAAGGAUGAAACACAAAAUCAUAAAGCAUCCCAUAUUUUA